GAGUUUGAUCUUGGCUCAGAGCGAACGCUGGCGGCAGGCCUAAACAUGCAAGUCGAGCGCCGUAGCAAUACGGAGCGGCAGACGGGUGAGUAACACGUGGGAACGUACCCUUUGGUUCGGAACAACACAGGGAAACUUGUGCUAAUACCGGAUAAGCCCUUACGGGGAAAGAUUUAUCGCCGAAGGAUCGGCCCGCGUCUGAUUAGCUAGUUGGUGGGUAACGGCCCACCAAGGCGACGAUCAGUAGCUGGUCUGAGAGGAUGAUCAGCCACACUGGGACUGAGACACGGCCCAGACUCCUACGGGAGGCAGCAGUUAGGAAUCUUGGACAAUGGGCGCAAGCCUGAUCCAGCCAUGCCGCGUGAGUGAUGAAGGCCCUAGGGUUGUAAAGCUCUUUCAGCGGGGAAGAUAAUGACGGUACCCGCAGAAGAAGCCCCGGCUAACUUCGUGCCAGCAGCAGCCGCGGUAAC
rnacentral:rRNA from 1 species